UCUCUUUUUUUCCCAAACCCCUUUCUCAUUUUUGCUUUUUUCACUUUCAGAAAUCCACUCUCACUUAAUCACUUAAUCAAAAAUAGCAAUAUUCCAUUUCUUCAGACUUAAUCUGCAGAUGCCGAACAAAACUUAAUCUCUUCCAUUUCUUCUUCAUUUCCUCUGAUUUCAAGCUCUCUGCUUUUCUUCAGCGCCUCAUCUUUCUUCAGCGCCUCCUCUGUUGCAAAAUGAAAGAGAUAUGAAAGAAAACUUCAGAUCUAUCAAUCAAUUGGAUGUUCUGGGCAUUUCAGUUCAGGAUAAGUUUGUGAAUGGUCAUUUAAUUGUUCGGUCGUGGUCUGAUCCAGGUGUUCCAGAGGCUGAGUGAGGAUUUUCGGUCGAUCAGUUCAUAUCCGGGAGUAUCGAGGUAGCUGCACGGCAUCCGCAGCCCGGAUCUCUCCCUUCUAUCCUUUCAUUUUAUCCGUAUUUCCUAGACUGAUUAUGUAUUAGGCUGUUAAACUUGUACUAGAGGCUCGAGACUUGUGACACCGGAUCUGUAUGGGCUAUGUAGUAGUAUUAUCAUCUGAAUUUCC